rnacentral:rRNA from 1 species
UUAAGCGACUAAGCGUACACGGUGGAUGCCCUGGCAGUCAGAGGCGAUGAAGGACGUGCUAAUCUGCGAAAAGCGUCGGUAAGGUGAUAUGAACCGUUAUAACCGGCGAUGUCCGAAUGGGGAAACCCAGUGUGAUUCGUCACACUAUCGUUAACUGAAUACAUAGGUUAACGAGGCGAACCGGGGGAACUGAAACAUCUAAGUACCCCGAGGAAAAGAAAUCAACCGAGAUUCCCCCAGUAGCGGCGAGCGAACGGGGAGCAGCCCAGAGUCUGAAUCAGCUUGUGUGUUAGUGGAACGGUCUGGAAAGUCCGACGGUACAGGGUGAUAGUCCCGUACACCAAAAUGCACAGGUUGUGAACUCGAAGAGUAGGGCGGGACACGUGGUAUCCUGUCUGAAUAUGGGGGGACCAUCCUCCAAGGCUAAAUACUCCUGACUGACCGAUAGUGAACCAGUACCGUGAGGGAAAGGCGAAAAGAACCCCGGCGAGGGGAGUGAAAAAGAACCUGAAACCGUGUACGUACAAGCAGUGGGAGCACCUUCGGGUGUGACUGCGUACCUUUUGUAUAAUGGGUCAGCGACUUAUAUUCUGUAGCAAGGUUAACCGUAUAGGGGAGCCGCAGGGAAACCGAGUCUUAACUGGGCGUUAAGUUGCAGGGUAUAGACCCGAAACCCGGUGAUCUAGCCAUGGGCAGGUUGAAGGUUGGGUAACACUAACUGGAGGACCGAACCGACUAAUGUUGAAAAAUUAGCGGAUGACUUGUGGCUGGGGGUGAAAGGCCAAUCAAACCGGGAGAUAGCUGGUUCUCCCCGAAAGCUAUUUAGGUAGCGCCUCGUGAACUCAUCUUCGGGGGUAGAGCACUGUUUCGGCUAGGGGGUCAUCCCGACUUACCAACCCGAUGCAAACUACGAAUACCGAAGAAUGUUAUCACGGGAGACACACGGCGGGUGCUAACGUCCGUCGUGAAGAGGGAAACAACCCAGACCGCCAGCUAAGGUCCCAAAGUCAUGGUUAAGUGGGAAACGAUGUGGGAAGGCACAGACAGCCAGGAUGUUGGCUUAGAAGCAGCCAUCAUUUAAAGAAAGCGUAAUAGCUCACUGGUCGAGUCGGCCUGCGCGGAAGAUGUAACGGGGCUAAACCAUGCACCGAAGCUGCGGCAGCGACACUAUGUGUUGUUGGGUAGGGGAGCGUUCUGUAAGCCUGCGAAGGUGUGCUGUGAGGCAUGCUGGAGGUAUCAGAAGUGCGAAUGCUGACAUAAGUAACGAUAAAGCGGGUGAAAAGCCCGCUCGCCGGAAGACCAAGGGUUCCUGUCCAACGUUAAUCGGGGCAGGGUGAGUCGACCCCUAAGGCGAGGCCGAAAGGCGUAGUCGAUGGGAAACAGGUUAAUAUUCCUGUACUUGGUGUUACUGCGAAGGGGGGACGGAGAAGGCUAUGUUAGCCGGGCGACGGUUGUCCCGGUUUAAGCAUGUAGGCUGGUUGUCCAGGCAAAUCCGGAUAAUCAAGGCUGAGGUGUGAUGACGAGGCACUACGGUGCUGAAGUAACAAAUGCCCUGCUUCCAGGAAAAGCCUCUAAGCAUCAGGUAACAUCAAAUCGUACCCCAAACCGACACAGGUGGUCAGGUAGAGAAUACCAAGGCGCUUGAGAGAACUCGGGUGAAGGAACUAGGCAAAAUGGUGCCGUAACUUCGGGAGAAGGCACGCUGGUGUGUAGGUGAAGUCCCUGCGGAUGGAGCUGAGACCAGUCGAAGAUACCAGCUGGCUGCAACUGUUUAUUAAAAACACAGCACUGUGCAAACACGAAAGUGGACGUAUACGGUGUGACGCCUGCCCGGUGCCGGAAGGUUAAUUGAUGGGGUUAUCCGUAAGGAGAAGCUCUUGAUCGAAGCCCCGGUAAACGGCGGCCGUAACUAUAACGGUCCUAAGGUAGCGAAAUUCCUUGUCGGGUAAGUUCCGACCUGCACGAAUGGCGUAAUGAUGGCCAGGCUGUCUCCACCCGAGACUCAGUGAAAUUGAACUCGCUGUGAAGAUGCAGUGUACCCGCGGCAAGACGGAAAGACCCCGUGAACCUUUACUAUAGCUUGACACUGAACAUUGAGCCUUGAUGUGUAGGAUAGGUGGGAGGCUUUGAAGCGUGGACGCCAGUCUGCGUGGAGCCAACCUUGAAAUACCACCCUUUAAUGUUUGAUGUUCUAACGUUGGCCCCUGACCGGGGUUGCGGACAGUGUCUGGUGGGUAGUUUGACUGGGGCGGUCUCCUCCCAAAGCGUAACGGAGGAGCACGAAGGUUAGCUAAUCCUGGUCGGACAUCAGGAGGUUAGUGCAAUGGCAUAAGCUAGCUUGACUGCGAGCGUGACGGCGCGAGCAGGUGCGAAAGCAGGUCAUAGUGAUCCGGUGGUUCUGAAUGGAAGGGCCAUCGCUCAACGGAUAAAAGGUACUCCGGGGAUAACAGGCUGAUACCGCCCAAGAGUUCAUAUCGACGGCGGUGUUUGGCACCUCGAUGUCGGCUCAUCACAUCCUGGGGCUGAAGUAGGUCCCAAGGGUAUGGCUGUUCGCCAUUUAAAGUGGUACGCGAGCUGGGUUUUAGAACGUCGUGAGACAGUUCGGUCCCUAUCUGCCGUGGGCGCUGGAGAAUUGAGGGGGGCUGCUCCUAGUACGAGAGGACCGGAGUGGACGCAUCACUGGUGUUCGGGUUGUCAUGCCAAUGGCACUGCCCGGUAGCUAAAUGCGGAAGAGAUAAGUGCUGAAAGCAUCUAAGCACGAAACUUGCCCCGAGAUGAGUUCUCCCUGAGACUUUAAGUCUCCUGAAGGAACGUUAAAGACGAUGACGUUGAUAGGCCGGGUGUGUAAGCGCAGCGAUGCGUUGAGCUAACCGGUACUAAUGAACCGUGAGGCUUAACCUU